rnacentral:rRNA from 1 species
CCUACGGGAGGCAGCAGUGGGGAAUAUUGCACAAUGGGGGAAACCCUGAUGCAGCGAUGCCGCGUGGAGGAAGAAGGUUUUCGGAUUGUAAACUCCUUUUAUCAGGGACGAUAAUGACGGUACCUGACUAAGAAGCCCCGGCUAACUACGUGCCAGCAGCCGCGGUAAUACGUAGGGGGCAAGCGUUAUCCGGAUUUACUGGGUGUAAAGGGUGCGUAGGUGGCAGGGCAAGUCAGAUGUGAAAGCCCGGGGCUCAACCCCGGUACUGCAUUUGAAACUGUCCAGCUGGAGUGCAGGAGAGGAAA